CUACGGGAGGCUCCAGUGGGGAAUAUUGGACAAUGGGGGAAACCCUGAUCCAGCAAUGCCGCGUGUGUGAAAAAGGCCUGCGGGUUGUAAAGCACUUUCGGUUGGGAGGACUGCUUCUAGCACUAAUAUUGUUGGAAGUUGACGUUACCUUCAGAAGAAGCACCGGCUAACUCCGUGCCAGCAGCCGCGGUAAUACGGAGGGUGCAUGCGUUAAUCGGAAUUACUGGGCGUAAAGCGCGCGUAGGCGGCUAGAUCAGUCGGGUGUGAAAGCCCCGGGCUUAACCUGGGAACUGCAUCCGAUACUGUCUAGCUUGAGUACAGGAGAGGAGAGUGGAAUUCCACAUGUAGCGGUGAAAUGCGUAGAUAUGUGGAGGAACACCAAUGGCGAAGGCAGCUCUCUGGCCUGAUACUGACGCUGAGGUGCGAAAGCGUGGGGAGCAAACAGGAUUAGAUACCCCCGUAGUC
rnacentral:rRNA from 1 species